rnacentral:rRNA from 1 species
GACGAACGCUGGCGGCGUGCUUAACACAUGCAAGUCGAACGGAAAGGCCCCUUCGGGGGUACUCGAGUGGCGAACAGGUGAGUAACACGUGAGUAACCUGCCCUUGACUUCGGGAUAACUUCAGGAAACUGGGGCUAAUACCGGAUAGGAAUCCUUGCUGCAUGGUGGGGGUUGGAAAGCUUCGGCGGUUUUGGAUGGACUCGCGGCUUAUCAGCUUGUUGGUGGGGUAGUGGCUUACCAAGGCUUUGACGGGUAGCCGGCCUGAGAGGGCGACCGGCCACAUUGGGACUGAGAUACGGCCCAGACUCCUACGGGAGGCAGCAGUGGGGAAUAUUGCACAAUGGGCGGAAGCCUGAUGCAGCAACGCCGCGUGCGGGAUGACGGCCUUCGGGUUGUAAACCGCUUUCAGCAGGGGCGAAGCUUGUGGUGACGGUACCUGCAGAAGAAGCACCGGCUAGCUACGUG